CCCGCUGAACUUAAGCAUAUCAAUAAGCGGAGGAAAAGAAACUAACAAGGAUUCCCCUAGUAACUGCGAGUGAAGCGGGAAAAGCUCAAAUUUAAAAUCUGGCGGUCCCCUGGGCCGUCCGAGUUGUAAUCUGGAGAAGCGUUUUCCGCGUCGGACCGUGUACAAGUCUUCUGGAAUGGAGCGUCAUAGAGGGUGAGAAUCCCGUCUCUGACACGGACCGCCGAUGCUUUAUGUGAUACGCUCUCGAAGAGUCGAGUUGUUUGGGAAUGCAGCUCAAAAUGGGUGGUAAAUUCCAUCUAAAGCUAAAUAUUGGCGAGAGACCGAUAGCGAACAAGUACCGUGAGGGAAAGAUGAAAAGCACUUUGGAAAGAGAGUUAAACAGUACGUGAAAUUGUUGAAAGGGAAACGUUUGAAGUCAGUCGCGUCGGUUGAGACUCAACCUUGCCGUCUCGGCUCGGUGCACUUCUCGGUUGACGGGUCAGCAUCAAUUUCGGGCGUCGGAUAAAGGCCGAGGGAACGUGGCAUCCCUCGGGGUGUGUUAUAGCCCUCGGUUCGCAUACGACGGUUGGGAUUGAGGAACUCAGCGCGCCUUCAUCGGUCGGGGCUUCGGCUCACGUUAACGCGCUUAGGAUGCUGGCAUAAUGGCUUUAAGCGACCCGUCUUGAAACACGG
rnacentral:rRNA from 1 species